rnacentral:rRNA from 1 species
UACAGAGGGUGCAAGCGUUGUUCGGAAUUACUGGGCGUAAAGCGCGUGUAGGCGGUCUGGUAAGUCGGUCGUGAAAGCCCUAGGCUUAACCUAGGAACUGCGAUCGAAACUGUUAGACUUGAGUAUCGGAGGGGGUGGCGGAAUUCCCGGUGUAGAGGUGAAAUUCGUAGAUAUCGGGAGGAACACCUGUGGCGAAGGCGGCCACCUGGAAGAUUACUGACGCUGAGACGCGAAAGCGUGGGGAGCAAACAGG